CAGCAGCCGCGGGAAUACGAAGGGGGCUAGCGUUGUUCGGAAUUACUGGGCGUAAAGCGCACGUAGGCGGAUAUUUAAGUCAGGGGUGAAAUCCCAGAGCUCAACUCUGGAACUGCCUUUGAUACUGGGUAUCUUGAGUAUGGAAGAGAUGAGUGGAAUUCCGAGUGUAGAGGUGAAAUUCGUAGAUAUUCGGAGGAACACCAGUGGCGAAGGCGGCUCACUGGUCCAUUACUGACGCUGAGGUGCGAAAGCGUGGGGAGCAAACAGGAUUAGAUACCCCCGUAGUCCCUGUCUCUUAUAC
rnacentral:rRNA from 1 species